rnacentral:lncRNA from 1 species
AUUUCCUAUUAUCUAUUGUCUCAUUAUUGUGCAUCUUUACUUCUUUAUCCAUGCCCUCGUUCUUUUAAUCUCAUCUAGGAUAGAGGAGGGAGUGCAUUCUGCAUUCUGCUAAUAUUCAACACAAAUGGAACAUUCCAGGCAUAAAUUCAAAGCUCUGCAGAUUGCCACUAACCACACGCUCCCACAAAAAGGACCCCAUCACUUUAAUGAGGCAACAAACUAAGGAGUAUUCUUCAUAUGAAAACAAAAGGGACAAGAAAGACAUAUAGGAAGAAUGAUUUGGAGAUUGGGAGUGUCCUCACAGUAACUAACACAUCUCCCUCACACUGCUGUUUACAGCUGUACUUCUCCAAGGUUAUAGCAUUUACAAGAAAUAGUGUUAUUUCUCCAAAUAGCACAGCAUCUAUCUAAUACAAAUCAUCAGCCCUACUGAUUUUUUUCUUCAGUGUGAUUGAAAAUUAGAUGGAAAUGUACUAAGGUAAGAUUGUCUUUUUGUACAUCACCAUAAUAAAUGCUGUGCAGAAAUUUACAUAUAUUUCUAAGGUGUCCAUUCAGAUAAAGACUUUUCCUUAAUGAAUUACUUUUGCACUUACAGAAUAGAUUGUAUUUUGGAG